UCCGCAGGCGGAUUUAUAAGUCAGUGGUGAAAGCCCGUUGCUUAACAACGGAACUGCCAUUGAUACUGUAAGUCUUGAAUUCGAUCGAAGUGGGCGGAAUAUGACAUGUAGCGGUGAAAUGCUUAGAUAUGUCAUAGAACACCGAUAGCGAAGGCAGCUCACUAGGUCUGGAUUGACGCUCAAAUGCGAAAGCGUGGGGAUCAAACAGGAUUAGAUACCCUCGUA
rnacentral:rRNA from 1 species